AUACGGGGGGUGCAAGCGUUAAUGGGAAUUACUGGGCGUAAAGCGCGCGUAGGCGGUUUGCUCAGUCGGAUGUGAAAGCCCAGGGCUCAACCUUGGAACUGCAUACGAUACUGGCAAACUAGAGUGUGAGAGAGGAUAGUGGAAUUUCCGGUGUAGCGGUGAAAUGCGUAGAUAUCGGAAGGAACAUCAGUGGCGAAGGCGACUGUCUGGCUCAACACUGACGCUGAGGUGCGAAAGCGUGGGUAGCAAACAGGAUUAGAAACCCCAGUAGUCC
rnacentral:rRNA from 1 species